UGGUAUGUGGGCUGACAGAAGAGAGUGAGCACACAGCGGCGAUUGCAUCGAUCUGAUGCCUUAUCUGUUGCGUGCUCACGUCUCUCUCUGUCAGCUCUCUCUAUCC
rnacentral:miRNA from 15 species